AGAGCCCUCGGGAGCAGCAGUAGGGAAUCUUCCACAAGGGACGAAAGUCUGAUGGAGCAACGCCGCGUGAGUGAAGAAGGGUUUCGGCUCGUAAAGCUCUUUUGGUAGUGAAGAAGGAUAGAGGUAGUAACUGGCCUUUAUUUGACGGUAAUUACUUAGAAAGUCACGGCUAACUACGUGCCAGCAGCCGCGGUAAUACGUAGGUGGCAAGCGUUGUCCGGAUUUAUUGGGCGUAAAGCGAGUGCAGGCGG
rnacentral:rRNA from 1 species